UGAGCAACCUGCCCUUGACUCUGGAAUAACAGCUGGAAACAGCUGCUAAUACCGGAUACGACCUCCGAUGGCAUCAUCUGGAGGUGGAAAGCUCCGACGGUCAAGGAUGGGCUCGCGGCCUAUCAGCUUGUUGGUGGGGUNAUUGCCUACCAAGGCGACGACGGGUAGCCGGCCUGAGAGGGCGACCGGCCACACGUGGGACUGAGACACGGCCCAGACUCCGUAGG
rnacentral:rRNA from 1 species